AACCGGGUAUAUUCGGUACCGGUACCGGUUCCCACUUUUGAGGAUUUUUUGUACCGGUACUUUCGGUUCCGGUACCGAGCUCAUCCCUAUCUCAGACUCCGAGAUCUGUUGAGAAGUCAGCAAGAGAUAUUCGACAUGUAGAAGGAAAUAUUAGUGGUAAAUAUGAUAAAGAAAAAGGGGUAAAUGUUCAGGUUGUUGUGAGAUGCAGACCGCUGAAUGCUGAUGAGGAAAAACUACACACACCAGUGGUGGUUACAUGUGCAGAAAACAAGAGGGAAGUAUGUGCAGUUCAAAACAUAGCUAACAAGCAGAUUGAUAGAUCAUUUGUGUUUGAUAAGGUAUUCAGUCCAAAAUCCCAACAAAGAGACUUGUAUCAUUCAGCAGUGUCUCCCAUGGUUUUUGAAGUUCUCGAGGGCUACAACUGCACUAUAUUUGCAUACACCCAAACGGGAACCGGAAAAACAUACACAAUGGAAGGAGGGAGGAAAGAGAACGGGAAUUCCCAAGUGAUGCAGGUGUGAUUCCGAGGGCUGUUAGGCAAAUAUUUGACAUAUUAGAAGCUCAAAAUGCAGAAUACAAUAUGAAAGUUACGUUUCUAGAGCUGUACAAUGAGGAAAUAACCGAUCUUUUAGCUCCCGAAGAAGCUUCAAAGUUUCCAGAAGAUAAGCCUAAGUAACCGAUAGCGUUAAUGGAAGAUGGAAAGGGUGGUGUACUUGUUAGAGGCUUAGAAGAGGAGAUAGUUUCUACUGCUGAUGAAAUAUACAGAAUAUUGGAAAAGGGUUCUGCUAAAAUUUUCACAUGAACUGCUAUUACGAAUUCUUAUUCAUUUUUCCCAACGACCAUUGUUAGAUCAUCCAAAUAUGAAGG